AUCUAGUUGAUGAGUCCCAAAUAGGACGAGAUGCCCAUCCUGGAU
rfam:Schistosoma mansoni strain Puerto Rico chromosome W, complete genome